CCCUUAGAUGUUCUGGGCCGCACGCGUGCUACACUGAGUGGAUCAGCGGGUCAGGUUGCGCGAAAGUGUUUCCUAAUCUUGAAAUCCGCUCGUGAUGGGGAUUGACGGUUGCAAUUUUCCGUCAUGAACGAGGAAUGCCUUGUAAGCGCGGGUCAUCAUCCCGCGCUGAAUACGUCCCUGCCCUUUGUACACACCGCCCGUCGCUCCUACCGAUUGAGUGGUCCGGUGAGGCUUUGGGAUCUGAGCAAAGAGAGCGUUUCGCUCGUUUUGCCCGGAAAACUCAGUCGAACCUUAUCAUUUAGAGGAAGGAGAAGUCGUAACA
rnacentral:rRNA from 1 species